rnacentral:rRNA from 1 species
UACCAGCACCCCGAGUGGUCGGGACGAUUAUUGGACCUAAAGCAUCCGUAGCCGGCCUUACAAGUCCUCCGUUAAAUCCAGCUGCUUAACAGAUGGGCUGCGGAGGAUACUAUAAGACUAGGAGGCAGGAGAGGCAAGCGGUACUCAGUGGGUAGGGGUAAAAUCCGUUGAUCCAUUGAAGACCACCAGUGGCGAAGGCGGCUUGCCAGAAUGCGCUCGACGGUGAGGGAUGAAAGCUGGGGGAGCAAACCGG